GCGUUGGCCCAAUUGAUUGAUGGUGCUUGCACCUGAUUGAUUUUGGUCGCCAACGAGUGGCGGACGGGUGAGUAACACGUAGGUAACCUGCCCAGAAGCGGGGGACAACAUUUGGAAACAGAUGCUAAUACCGCAUAACAGCGUUGUUCGCAUGAACAACGCUUAAAAGAUGGCUUCUCGCUAUCACUUCUGGAUGGACCUGCGGUGCAUUAGCUUGUUGGUGGGGUAACGGCCUACCAAGGCGAUGAUGCAUAGCCGAGUUGAGAGACUGAUCGGCCACAAUGGGACUGAGACACGGCCCAUACUCCUACGGGAGGCAGCAGUAGGGAAUCUUCCACAAUGGGCGCAAGCCUGAUGGAGCAACACCGCGUGAGUGAAGAAGGGUUUCGGCUCGUAAAGCUCUGUUGUUAAAGAAGAACACGUAUGAGAGUAACUGUUCAUACGUUGACGGUAUUUAACCAGAAAGUCACGGCUAACUACGUGCCAGCAGCCGCGGUAAUACGUAGGUGGCAAGCGUUAUCCGGAUUUAUUGGGCGUAAAGAGAGUGCAGGCGGUUUUCUAAGUCUGAUGUGAAAGCCUUCGGCUUAACCGGAGAAGUGCAUCGGAAACUGGAUAACUUGAGUGCAGAAGAGGGUAGUGGAACUCCAUGUGUAGCGGUGGAAUGCGUAGAUAUAUGGAAGAACACCAGUGGCGAAGGCGGCUACCUGGUCUGCAACUGACGCUGAGACUCGAAAGCAUGGGUAGCGAACAGGAUUAGAUACCCUGGUAGUCCAUGCCGUAAACGAUGAGUGCUAGGUGUUGGAGGGUUUCCGCCCUUCAGUGCCGGAGCUAACGCAUUAAGCACUCCGCCUGGGGAGUACGACCGCAAGGUUGAAACUCAAAGGAAUUGACGGGGGCCCGCACAAGCGGUGGAGCAUGUGGUUUAAUUCGAAGCUACGCGAAGAACCUUACCAGGUCUUGACAUCUUGCGCCAACCCUAGAGAUAGGGCGUUUCCUUCGGGAACGCAAUGACAGGUGGUGCAUGGUCGUCGUCAGCUCGUGUCGUGAGAUGUUGGGUUAAGUCCCGCAACGAGCGCAACCCUUGUUACUAGUUGCCAGCAUUAAGUUGGGCACUCUAGUGAGACUGCCGGUGACAAACCGGAGGAAGGUGGGGACGACGUCAGAUCAUCAUGCCCCUUAUGACCUGGGCUACACACGUGCUACAAUGGACGGUACAACGAGUCGCGAACUCGCGAGGGCAAGCAAAUCUCUUAAAACCGUUCUCAGUUCGGACUGCAGGCUGCAACUCGCCUGCACGAAGUCGGAAUCGCUAGUAAUCGCGGAUCAGCAUGCCGCGGUGAAUACGUUCCCGGGCCUUGUACACACCGCCCGUCACACCAUGAGAGUUUGUAACACCCAAAGUCGGUGGGGU
rnacentral:rRNA from 2 species